CAGCCGCCGCGGGAACACGUAGGGUGCAAGCGUUAAUCGGAAUUACUGGGCGUAAAGCGUGCGCAGGCGGUUAUAUAAGACAGAUGUGAAAUCCCCGGGCUCAACCUGGGAACUGCAUUUGUGACUGUAUAGCUAGAGUACGGCAGAGGGGGAUGGAAUUCCGCGUGUAGCAGUGAAAUGCGUAGAUAUGCGGAGGAACACCGAUGGCGAAGGCAAUCCCCUGGGCCUGUACUGACGCUCAUGCACGAAAGCGUGGGGAGCAAACAGGAUUAGAUACCCCGGUAGUCCCUGUCUCUUAUAC
rnacentral:rRNA from 1 species